rnacentral:rRNA from 1 species
GACGAACGCUGGCGGCGUGCUUAACACAUGCAAGUCGAACGGAAAGGCCCUGCUUUUGUGGGGUGCUCGAGUGGCGAACGGGUGAGUAACACGUGAGUAACCUGCCCUUGACUUUGGGAUAACUUCAGGAAACUGGGGCUAAUACCGGAUAGGAGCUCCUGCUGCAUGGUGGGGGUUGGAAAGUUUCGGCGGUUGGGGCUGGACUCGCGGCUUAUCAGCUUCUUGGUGGGGUAGUGGCUUACCAAGGCUUUGACGGGUAGCCGGCCUGAGAGGUUGACCGGCCACAUUGGGACUGAGAGACGGCCCAGACGCCUACGGGAGGCAGCAGGCGGGAAUAUUGCACAAUGGGCGGAAGCCUGAUGCAGCAACGCCGCGUGCGGGAUGACGGCCUUCGGGUUGUAAACCGCUUUCGACUGUGACGAAGCGUGAGUGACGGUAAUUGGUAAAGAAGCACCGGCUAACUACGUG